AGAGUUUGAUCAUGGCUCAGGAUGAACGCUGGCGGCGUGCCUAAUACAUGCAAGUCGAACGAGGGAAGUCCAGCUUGCUGGACGGAACUAGUGGCGAACGGGUGAGUAAUACGUAAGCAACCUGCCUACAAGGACCGGGAUAACACCUGGAAACGGGCGCUAAUACCGGAUAGGUAACGGGAGGGCAUCCUUCUGUUAUUAAAGGUUAGAAACACAAGUAGAUGGGCUUACGGCGCAUUAGCUGGUUGGUGAGGUAACGGCCCACCAAGGCGAUGAUGCAUAGCCGGCCUGAGAGGGUGAACGGCCACAUUGGGACUGAGACACGGCCCAGACUCCUACGGGAGGCAGCAGUAGGGAAUUUUCGGCAAUGGGCGCAAGCCUGACCGAGCAACGCCGCGUGAAGUGAAGUAAGGUUUUCGGAUUGUAAAGCUCUGUUGUAAGGGAAGAAUGGCAGGGAAAGAAUCUCUGAGUGACGGUACCUUACCAGAAAGCCACGGCUAACUACGUGCCAGCCGCAGC
rnacentral:rRNA from 1 species